rnacentral:miRNA from 2 species
GUGAGUGUUAUACAGUCAUUUUGGGGU